UGCUUUUUAGCUCAUUUUCCAUUAAUCACUGAAAAGUAGUGGACUUUAGUGACUUGAUGAACCACCAUGACAAGAGCCAGCUUGUCACCUUCCCUUUUUAGUGGCCCCUGCAAACAUUUUCAUUGCACUUGCUCAGUAUUUCAUAGUAUUCUCUUGUGUGAUGUGUCUGUGUGUUUUCAAAUUGGCAAAGAUGUUUUCUCAUUUUUCUUUUCUUAAAGGGCAAUGCAGCAAGCACUCAGAUACACUGUAUCAAACUCAUAAAGACAUUUGCUAAUUAAGAAAUAGUUACCUUGAGGUUACUUUAUAAAAACUGAUGCAGCUUUUUUGGCUGUGCAGAAACAGUCAGUUAGCAUACCGUAUCACAAAACUAGAGCAGGAGAAAACAGCCUGGCUUUGAUAAAAAUCUUCAAAAGCUCACUAUCUAUAGCACCCAUGGUUUACAACAACAACAACAGUAACAAAAAGUGGUAUUUCAUGCCUUUGUUUUUUUUUUUUUUUAACUGCAUUAUUUGUGAGCUUUGUUUUUCCCAUAGUCUUUUCUUUAGUUUCAACCAUUCAUCCUCUGCUCGUAUUAUAUAUGUAAAAUAUAUUUCCCCUCACUAGAUGAAUAGAUGUAAAAACAGUAAAUGGUGUUAAUUUUGAUUCGCAUCCCAUUUCCCUCCAUCACAGUGUCAGCUUGUUAGGUAAUAACCUUUACAUCUUGUCAAAGGGUUUCACACAAAGAUGCUUGCCAAUGUUGACUUUGCUGCUUCCCACAGUGGCAUCAAGUUGACUAGAAGUAGAUCUCUACUCCAAAUGUUCAAUCUCAUCUCGCAGAUGCUCAAUUGGACUGAAAUCGUGUGACUGGGCAUUACGCUGAAUUUACUGUCAUGUUCAUGGAGCCUUUCCUGGACAAUUCUGUUCAUGCGGCAUGGGGCAUUACCCUGCUGGAAAAAUUCUUCCGCAGCAGUGCCUCCAUGCUGUUAGGGAUGCACCUGAUUGGCAAUAACACUCUGCUAUCCUGUGGCAUUGAACCAUUGCUUCUCUUUUAUCAAGGGUCCAAAUACGAUAUGUGCCACAGAGAAAAAAGACCGCACAUCACUGUGCCAUGGCCUGAUGUGUGGCAUGAUUCAUGCACUCAUGUGGAUUUCCCUCCAUACUCUAGUCUUUUCAUCAGUCUGGAACAGCAGGAACCAGGAUUCAUCUAUAUUUUCAAUUGUCUAGUGCAGUCUGCUGUUCCUUACUCCACUGAAUCCACAGCAACUGUUUCAGCCGAAAGAAGAAGAACUCUUGAGGUGGAGAGGAGCGGAGGAGAGAGACGCCGGGGAAACCGACCGCUG
ensembl:lncRNA